rnacentral:rRNA from 1 species
GCACAAGCGGUGGAGCAUGUGGCUUAAUUCGACGCAACGCGAAGAACCUUACCUGGGCUUGACAUGUUCCUGACAACCGUGGAAACACGGUCUCCCUUCGGGGCAGGAUCACAGGUGGUGCAUGGCUGUCGUCAGCUCGUGUCGUGAGAUGUUGGGUUAAGUCCCGCAACGAGCGCAACCCUCGCCCUUAGUUGCCAUCAUUCAGUUGGGCACUCUAAGGGGACUGCCGGUGAUAAGCCGCGAGGAAGGUGGGGAUGACGUCAAGUCCUCAUGGCCCUUACAGGCUGGGCUACACACGUGCUACAAUGGCGGUGACAGUGGGACGCAAUGGAGCAAUCCUGCGCAAAUCUCAAAAAGCCGUCUCAGUUCGGAUUGGGCUCUGCAACUCGAGCCCAUGAAGUUGGAAUCGCUAGUAAUCGCAGAUCAGCACGCUGCGGUGAAUACGUUCCCGGGC